UAUGUGCAGAUUAGUGGAUGAGUGCUAUCUAGAUUCUUCUAAUAUGAAGAUAGUGGCACCACUAAGAAAAAGAGAAAUAAUCGGUUUUUCUGUAGCCACGGAAUGGGCAUUUGGCUCAGUCAUCUUCCAUUGCUGGAGACCGCCCCCAUCUCCGACCGGAUCCAGGUCGGCUCCCCUGAUAGCCACCAUGGCUUGUGUCGUUGGUGCUAGUGUGGAUGUGCGACAUGUUCAUGUCCCCAGUCUAUGCCAAGUUCAGGUAUGUUCCUGGUUGCUGGUGUAUAUUCCGCUGAUGUGUGACAAAUUCAUAGUGUGCCUUCUUUUUAGUUCAGUGAGUUCAGUUCAUGUCUUAUUUUUCUUCGUCAGAAUGCACGUCGGUCUCGUUGUGGAUGCUUCUGUAGUUCGGCAGUCCAACUAAUUGCUCUACCACCGGUUGCUCAAAGCGCCGUGUGAAGUCCAACCCGUGCUCCGCCCCUGGAUCCGGCUCAGCGCCAGUUCCUUGGCGGUUGCUACCCGUCCGCUGCUCCUUCCGCUGUCUGCGCACAACUCCUAGUGCGUAGCAACUGUGUUCUGUAAUUUCAGAAUUUAAUAGGACGUGCUCUUUGACCUACAUUGCUUCGGAAAGGACAAUCCCUAGGUAAAUCUUCUUCAUGAUUUCAGGGCUAUGAAGUGAAUUAUUUGUUGUUACGAUCUAUUUAGCACAUAUAGUUACAAAACAUAGUUCAAAUAAAUUUCCCCCAAAAGUUCAGUAUUUAGGGUUCUGCGCCUGUCCUUACAUUAGCUAGUCUUCAUCAUGUCCAGAUAAUGCCUAAAGUGAAGACAUUAUUUUAUUUCAAUUCAACUUUUGAAUGUCUUUCAGUUCAUCUACUUCUCGGUCGUCCUGAGUUGCAGCAUUGCUGCUACUGUCAAUGUGUUUGCAAGUUGCAACCAUUAUUGAUGCAUUUGUAUUUCAGAUCACUGAGGGUUUCAUGAGGAUGUGCUAAAAAUUUGCUAUUGUCGGUUGCUCUUUGUUGCACUUGGUACCGUCAAUUAAAAUUUGUUACGUCAAUGGUGAUAGUGUACGUCAGUGCAUGUGUGCUAGUACUAGUGUACUUGCGAAGUGACCCUCCUCCUAGUACAACCAAUUCAAUUUCUUGCAUUUCCAUCUGGAGUACAAAAAUGAUCAGUACGAAUUAAAACAAUGAUCAGUUUGAAAAUAAAAGAAAUGAUUACUUCGAAUUAAAAAUUGGUUUGAAUUAAAAACAAUGAUCAGUUCAAAUUUAAAAAAGAUGAUCGGUUCGAAUGCGUAGCUACUGAAAGGUACAUUCUUUCAUUAGUAUAAAUGCAAUUUGUUAAUAAAAAUAAACAGUGAUUCAGUAUGUAUUAUAUGAGCAAUUCAUACAAAAAAGAAGAAGCAAAAAGUAGUGAUUCAAUAUGUAUUAUAUGUCCAAAUUUUGUUUUAUUCAGCACAAGGCUUCCAAGCAUUGAUCAGAUUCAGCACAAGGCUUAGUUCAACAAAGCGCAUGCUGACUUGGAUAUUUCUUUUUAUUCCAACAGGUGUGAAUGCUAGUCUUCUUACUGACAUAGCACAUUAGUAAAUUGACUAAACUCUUGGCCUCUCUGUGCUAUGAUCCAUGGGGGACCUGAUCAUCCAUAGAGCUAAUUUCUGAAACUAAAAAUUAUCCUUUCUUAUGUUUCUGUGUUGUCAAAUAAAAGCUAAUAUACAUGUGAUGUCCAGUUUCUUCUUUCGGUUCAGUUCAUUAUCUAAAAUCCUUUCAAUUUAAUUCUUAUGUGUCGUCCCGGCAACGCAUUGCGUAGCCACCGACCUCCUCUGGUUGGGCCACACCACCACGGGCUGGUCCACAAUGGUUGCUGGCAGCCGUCCAAGUUGAGAGCUGAUGGUAGUCCUCUACAUGCGUCAACGAAAAAUAGAGCCUUUUCUCUUCUCAAUACACAGCACAGAAGGUAUUUGUCUCCAACUUGCAUUAAGAGUUCAAAGUACACAGAGGAAAAAGGUUCAAUUUUCAAAACUUUAAGAGUUCAAAGUACACAAGAACAUAAGUCCACUAUGCUUUGUGUCAGAUAUCUGAUAUUUGUGAGGGGAACUUCAAUUUUCUUUAGUUCAACUUUUGAAUGUGUUCCAGUUCGUCUACUUCCUAGUCGUCCUGUGUCAAUCAAAAAAAGCAGUAGUUUAGCACGAAAAAUAGAGAUUUUUCUCUUCUCAGUACACAUCACAAAAGGUAUUUGUCUCCAACUUGCAUUAAGAGUUCAAAGUACACAGAGGAAAAAGGUUCAAUUUUCAAAACCUUAAGAGUUCAAAGUACACAAGAACAUAAGUCCACUAUGCUUUGCGUCAGAUAUCUGAUAUUUGUGAGGGGAACUUCAAUUUUCUUCAGUUCAACUUUUGAAUGUGUUUCAGUUCGUCUACUUCCCAGUCGUCCUGUGUUAGCUAGAUCAGUACUAGUGCUCAGCAGUACGACAAGUAGCAGUACUGAUCAGUACGACCUACACAAAUACUAUUACUGAUCAGUAAUAUUCUUAAUGUUAAAAGUAACAUCCAUAUAGAAAAAAUGCUUCUAUUCUAACACACAAUGUUUUGCAAAAAAGAGCACUAGUACUGAUGAGUCGUACCGACAAGGAUGCCUUCUACAAUUCUGAAAUUAUUGUUGAGUCGUACUAGUACUAUUACUGUUGAAAAUGGGAAGCAAGUGUCACAUGAAUCCUCAAUUGAAUGGGAAGCAAGUUGAUCCUCGCUCCUUCAACUCCACUUCGCCAGUGCCCGUCAGUCUGCAGGAGUAGGGGCGGCGUGUCCGUCAACAAACAAGAACAGAAGGGAGCAAUUGGCGCCGAAUGGGCCCCUGGGAGCUAGUCCAACCCGCUCGCAGACUGGAGGGCAUGCCGGUUUAUUUCCAAUGAAGCCCUAUGUACAAUCAGUCUGUUCGUUUGAUAAGGAAGG